UACGAAGGGGGCUAGCGUUGCUCGGAAUCACUGGGCGUAAAGCGCACGUAGGCGGAUCUUUAAGUCAGGGGUGAAAUCCCAAGGCUCAACCUUGGAACUGCCUUUGAUACUGGGGAUCUCGAGUCCGGAAGAGGUGAGUGGAACUGCGAGUGUAGAGGUGAAAUUCGUAGAUAUUCGCAAGAACACCGGUGGCGAAGGCGGCUCACUGGUCCGGUACUGACGCUGAGGUGCGAAAGCGUGGGGAGCAAACAGG
rnacentral:rRNA from 1 species